GAUGAACGCUGACAGAAUGCUUAACACAUGCAAGUCAACUUGAAUUUGGGUUUUUAACUUAGAUUUGGGUGGCGGACGGGUGAGUAACGCGUAAAGAACUUGCCUCACAGCUAGGGACAACAUUUAGAAAUGAAUGCUAAUACCUGAUAUUAUGAUUUUAAGGCAUCUUAGAAUUAUGAAAGCUAUAUGCACUGUGAGAGAGCUUUGCGUCCCAUUAGUUAGUUGGAGAGGUAACAGCUCACCAAGGCGAUGAUGGGUAGCCGGCCUGAGAGGGUGAACGGCCACAAGGGGACUGAGACACGGCCCUUACUCCUACGGGAGGCAGCAGUGGGGAAUAUUGGACAAUGGACCGAGAGUCUGAUCCAGCAAUUCUGUGUGCACGAUGAAGUUUUUCGGAAUGUAAAGUGCUUUCAGUUGGGAAGAAAUAAAUGACGGUACCAACAGAAGAAGUGACGGCUAAAUACGUGCCAGCAGCCGCGGUAAUACGUAUGUCACGAGCGUUAUCCGGAUUUAUUGGGCGUAAAGCGCGUCUAGGUGGUUAUGUAAGUCUGAUGUGAAAAUGCAGGGCUCAACUCUGUAUUGCGUUGGAAACUGUAUAACUAGAGUACUGGAGAGGUAAGCGGAACUACAAGUGUAGAGGUGAAAUUCGUAGAUAUUUGUAGGAAUGCCGAUGGGGAAGCCAGCUUACUGGACAGAUACUGACGCUAAAGCGCGAAAGCGUGGGUAGCAAACAGG
rnacentral:rRNA from 1 species